CAGAAAUACGACAAUUGCUUUAUUCAUUCUAGAAGCAGACAUUAUAUUUUGUACACCUAUUUCUCGACCAAUAGCGACCAAAACAUUCUCAAUGGAAAUUGACCCAUCUGCCGGCAUGCACUUACACGCGUGCCGAGCCGACAAACUAGAAAAACCAUAAGAAUUUACGCCCAUCUUUAUCAGCUAAGCUGACAAAAAUCACCACUAUAACACCUUCUCCUCUAACUUACAGCAAUAUUCGAAAAAAAUAAAAAAUAAAAUAAACUCAGAAAGAAAAAGUUAGAAACUCACUCAGUAACUCCACACACUCCCCGCUCACACGCUCCUCACAAUCACGCUGCACAUGCGCACAGAGAGAGAGAGAGAGAGAGAAGAAGAAAGGCGAGAGAGAGAGAGAGAGAGAGAGAGAGAGAGAGGAAGUGCGGAGUGAGAGUUGCCCGUGCAGGGAGCAUGUUCGUCGUUCACUUCACCUCCCACAUGUAACGUGGCAGCCAGCGAUGGCAAAGCUCCUCAACAAGUGAAGCGUGUUGUCUUCAGUUCCCCGAAUAUUCGCAGCAUGGUUGCGGUGAGCGCGGAGAGUCCCGUGGAUCAGUACCGGACGCUGGCGUACGACACCGCGCUCAGUACUUUACUCGCUGUGCUGGUGUACGUGGUGGUGAAGGUGAGCCUGGACGGGAUCCGCCAGUGGCGUGCUCGGAUCUCGGUUCUGAUCGUGGGUUCGGGUCCGAUCGGGCUGACCGCGGCUCUGGUCGCUGUCUGCUCCGGCAAGGUGCUGAAACUGACGCUCCUGGAUGAGCGCUACCGGAGCGCGCUGCUCUGCAGACCGCAGCAGAUCGCGCUGGACCCCCGCAGCGUCCGCUUCCUCCUCGACCUGGGGGUGGAUUUUGACAACAUGGAAGGCUGCUGGCACAACGAGCACUUCUUCACCAAAAUCGGAGUGUUUCAGGAGUAUUUGUUGAGCAUCCUGGAGCAGAAGAAGCAAAAGGUUUACGUGAAAGUCCAUUUGGGUACAAAGUUUAGUGAGGAGUACCUGAGGAAGAUGCCGAGGGGUGAAUGGCCGCGGGUGAUUGUAGUUGCUGACGGUUCGUGUGGAGACUCCUGCUCGGUGCUGGGCAUCAGCGCUGAUUACAUCGUGGAAUCAUGUCGCGCUUAUGGCGCCAGUGCUACUAUAGAAAGACCGGACCAGAGACAGGUUCCCACACCAGAGAUCCGUGCACAUAGUUUGUAUUUUGAUCUGUCGGCGUACGGGAUCGACACUGUGAAGGAAUCACGCAGCUCCUCUCAGCUGGCAGCGAAGCCCGGAUUCCAUCUGAAGAUCUAUGGAACGUUCCGGAACCGCUGCAUGGCUCUGGCCUGCACUUCGGACGCAGACUCCAAAAUGAUGCAUUUCCUGCGCCACACAGCCAACUCUUCAAUCAUGAGGAACAUCUUCCACCAGUCGUUCAACGCGUAUAAAACAGACAUCGAGCCUCGUCUGAGUGAACUCACCCUGCACCACAUGCAGUGCAGCCGCAAGCUGUUCGAGAUCAUGCUGUCGUACAGACGCGUCAGCGCCGCUUACAUCGAAGGAGACAACGUCGCCGUGACUGUGGAAGGAGAAGCUGCGCGAGUGCUCAACUUUGACACUGGUUGUGGUGUGAAUCUGGGCAUGAGAGGACUGGAGUCACUGGGAAUGUUCAUCUACAGAACGGCCACGGCACUGGACCAGAAUGACGUGUUUGAGGCGCUCUCGGCCAAAAUCCAGCACUCCAGACACGUGGCAGAGACUUUCAGGAAGAGCGGACUGGCCUCGGCUGUGUUUGAAUGACCCUGAGCGUGUUUGUGUGACAGAAAAAGUGUGUGUGUGUGUUCUGAGGCGAGUUAUAAACUAGAACACGUAAUGCUUACAGAAUUAUGAUCUGUUUUGUGAUCAUUUUUUGGAAUGUUGAGUAUUGAAUGCACAUAGAGUGACCAAAGUUUGUGCAUUAGCAUUUAAUUUGUGGGGAAAAAAGUUUAUUGGUGUAAUGUGAUGGUAAAAUUGGUACAUUAUGUUUUUGAGUAGUUUAAACAUCUUGACAAAAAUAAGAAUUGGAGACUGAUCCAACCUAGAAUGACCACAAUCCUAAAGAAAACCUUACUGAAGAUACAGUGACCUGUAGAAAUAUUUGGACACUUGCAAAAGUAUAAAAGCCACUGCCUUAGAUAAUACAAUUUUAAAGCAAGUGUCCUAAUCAGUGCGGUGUUAGCCUUAAAGGAAUAGUUCACCCAAAAAUGACAAUUUGCUGAAAAUGUACUCACCCUCAGCUCAUCCCAGAUGUAAAUGCAUUUGUUUCUUU
rnacentral:lncRNA from 1 species